rnacentral:rRNA from 1 species
UACAGAGGGGGCAAGCGUUGUUCGGAAUUACUGGGCGUAAAGGGCUCGUAGGCGGCCAACUAAGUCAGACGUGAAAUCCCUCGGCUUAACCGGGGAACUGCGUCUGAUACUGGAUGGCUAGAGGUUGGGAGAGGGAUGCGGAAUUCCAGGUGUAGCGGUGAAAUGCGUAGAUAUCAGGAGGAAUACCGAUGGCGAAGGCAGGUCUCUGGGCUGACACUGACGCUCAUGCACGAAAGCGUGGGGAGCAAACAGG